UGGCUUUGGUUCGAUCAACGGAUUGGCUCCUUUUAACGCCUACUAAUAUCGGGAAAAGGAAGUGAUUUCUCAGUGUGUGUGUGUGUACCGACGCGUGUGUUGUUUUUUUUUUUUGUUGUUUUUUGUGUGUGUCUGUGUAUAUUAGCAAAGGUCUUUGACCGCUACUAAAUAUGGUUCAAUGGCUUCUCUACAAAGUAAAGCUACUCGUGCAUGCGCAUAACUUCCCAAUAUUGUGACCCAUUAUCGUUCGGCUUCGUUUCGCCAGAUAACUGCAAUGCCUUGAAGAGUGUUCGUACAUCUCCGCCUUACCCCCACAUUCCCUUCAACGCAUACACCACACACACACGCCUUCUUCUAAUGAACAUUGAACUGCAAAAAAAUACAAAUUGCACAAGCGUACAAAAAUAACAAAACAAACAAAAGCCUUCCAAUUGUAAAUGGAAAUUGACGACGGCGACGACGGCGAUGAAGACGAUGUUCGGGUAAAGGGAAUGGGUAUAGAAACGCGUCCGUACACCACGGUAAACGGGGCGCAUGAACAACGUACAUACAUCGCGUAUACGUAUACGUUCAUUCUCCCUCUCUCUCUCUCGCUCACUCGCUUGUUCAUCUAGCAGCAGCAGCAGCAGCUUCGUCUCUGCAUCCGCGUCGCGCGUUUCUUAUGACUGUGUGUGUGUGUGUGUGUGCCUUUUUUAUAUAUAUUUUGCGUGCAUUCACCUCCAGCCGAUUGCCGAUAAACCGUGUGAGCUGCUAACGCUGCCCAAAAUGUCUCUUUUUAGUCUCUGUUUAUACAGACAAACGGACAGUCGAAGAGAUGAUCAUGGCUAGAUCGACUAGGUUGUUGAUUGAUCAAGAAUAAAUACGUUCCGUACGUUUUAAGGACUUUAAUAUACCAUUUAACCCUCUUGGUGCAUGGGUUAUAGAAAACUUUAAACUUUUGGAAAACUUUAAUAUUACUGUGGGGAUGGUAUGGUAACGCUGUAAGGCCAGACCUACAACCGAAGCACCUGAUCGACGAGGUGGCAAUGAACGAGAAGACGAGGUGGCAAGGCAGAAACGGAGAGUCUAGAGAAAACGACGAACGACGAACGACGUGUGUGUAAAUGAAUCAAUACAUAAUUUAUCGAAACCCAUUGUUCCGUUAAUAAUUACCUAAUUUAAUAAAUAAUAUACUUAACAACUAU